rnacentral:pre_miRNA from 1 species
CGUUCGUCGAAACGGCGUUCGAUGAAAUGUCCGGACAUUUCAUCGAACGCCGUUUCGUCGAACG